rnacentral:pre_miRNA from 1 species
UUAACUUAAAUUUAUACGCAGUUGGAACAGCGCCCCUAGCAGCAAACGUAGGCAAACGUUCUAACUCCAUACAAAUUUGAGUAA